UUAGCAGUCACUAUUACGGAAUAUUUUCUAUCUGACAGGUGCUGUGUGAGGAGCUUGACUUGAAAUAACGUCACUGAAACCUCACACUCUGCAAGUGUGGUUUAAAAAUGGAAAUAGAUUCUUAGAGCCUCUUGAUGACAUCUUGUUGGAAUAUAAGACAUAUUGCGUUGAGAUUUGUGAUCUGCAAGAAUUCCAUCUGCACGAUUCACCGGAGACAGUGCCACUGAUGAUGAUUCCAAAUGGUCUAUUCUGCUUAUUUAUUUACCUGCUUAAUAAUAGCAAAUUCAACUGAAAGGACAAUUUGAUUUGGAAGCUUCAGUCAAUUAUUCUAUUUCUUGGAAUGGCUUGUGUGGAACAAAGAGUGGUCCACAUUUUGUUUGAGGCAGUUAAUUUUAUUCUUCCUGAAUAUACUUCAGGGAUUUGUAAAGAAACCACUAUCCAAGGACCAUCUUACCAGGGCUCAUCAUUGGCUGAACCCAGCCAGAACCCAGAGGGUGUGGAAAUCCUGUUGAUGCAGAGGAUAAGUCAGACUUCCAAGAUAGAGAGCAGAGGGCAGAAGUUUGG